rnacentral:rRNA from 1 species
CCUACGGGAGGCAGCAGUGAGGAAUAUUGGUCAAUGGCCGGAAGGCUGAACCAGCCAUGCCGCGUGAAGGUCAGUGCCCUAUGGGCGUUAAACUUCUUUUGUGCGGGAGCAAUAAUGGUCACGUGUGGCCAGACGAGAGUACCGUACGAAUAAGCAUCGGCUAACUCCGUGCCAGCAGCCGCGGUAAUACGGGGGAUGCAAGCGUUAUCCGGAUUUAUUGGGUUUAAAGGGUGCGUAGGCUGUGAGGUAAGUCAGCGGUGAAAUGCCCCCGCUCAACGGGGUGAAGUGCCAUUGAUACUGGCUGGCUGGAAUGCGGAUGACGUGGGAGGAAUGUGUGGUGUAGCGGUGAAAUGCAUAGAUAUCACACAGAACACCGAUUGCGAAGGCAUCUCACGAAUCCGCGAUUGACGCUGAUGCACGAAAGCGUGGGUAUCAAACAGGAUUAGAUACCCUAGUAGUC